rnacentral:rRNA from 1 species
GACGAACGCUGGCGGCGUGCCUAAUACAUGCAAGUCGACCGCAGUGGUGACGGGUGAGUAACACGUGGGUAACCUCCCAACAGAGGGGAUAACACUUGGAAACAGGUGCUAAACCGAUACUGAUGGAUGGACCCGCGGUGCAUUAGCUAGGUGGUGAGGUAACGGGUCACCAGGGCCACGAUGCAUAGCCGCACUGAGAGGAUGAGCGGCCACACUGGGACUGAGACAGGGCACAGACUCCUACGGGAGCCAGCAGUAGGGAAUCUUCGGGAAGGGACGAAAGUCUGAGGAAGCAAGGCCGCGAGAGUGAAGAAGGUUUUCGGAUUGUAAAACGCUGUUGUUAGGGAAGCGGUAUCUACAGAGAAAGCCACGGCUAACUACGUGCCAGCAGCCGCGGUAAUAC